AGUGAACGCUGGCGGUAGGCCUAACACAUGCAAGUCGAACGGCAGCACAGUAAGAGCUCGCUCUUACGGGUGGCGAGUGGCGGACGGGUGAGGAAUACAUCGGAAACUACUUUUUCGUGGGGGAUAACGUAGGGAAACUUACGCUAAUACCGCAUACGACCUACGGGUGAAAGCAGGGGAUCUUCAGACCUUGCGCGAUUGUAUGAGCCGAUGUCGGAUUAGCUAGUUGGCGGGGUAAAGGCCCACCAAGGCGACGAUCCGUAGCUGGUCUGAGAGGAUGAUCAGCCACACUGGAACUGAGACACGGUCCAGACUCCUACGGGAGGCAGCAGUGGGGAAUAUUGGACAAUGGGCGCAAGCCUGAUCCAGCCAUACCGCGUGGGUGAAGAAGGCCUUCGGGUUGUAAAGCCCUUUUGUUGGGAAAGAAAAGCAGCGGGUGAAUACCCCGCUGUUCCGACGGUACCCAAAGAAUAAGCACCGGCUAACUUCGUG
rnacentral:rRNA from 1 species